CCUACGGGAGGCAGCAGUGAGGAAUAUUGGUCAAUGGACGAGAGUCUGAACCAGCCAAGUAGCGUGAAGGAUGACUGCCCUAUGGGUUGUAAACUUCUUUUAUAUGGGAAUAAAACGUUCCACGUGUGGGAUUUUGUAUGUACCAUAUGAAUAAGGAUCGGCUAACUCCGUGCCAGCAGCCGCGGUAAUACGGAGGAUCCGAGCGUUAUCCGGAUUUAUUGGGUUUAAAGGGAGCGUAGGUGGUUUGUUAAGUCAGUUGUGAAAGUUUGCGGCUCAACCGUAAAAGUGCAGUUGAAACUGGCAGUCUUGAGUACAGUAGAGGUAGGCGGAAUGCGUGGUGUAGCGGUGAAAUGCUUAGAUAUCACGAAGAACUCCGAUUGCGAAGGCAGUUCACUGGACUGCAACUGACACUGAGGCUCGAAAGUGUGGGUAUCAAACAGGAUUAGAUACCCGGGUAGUC
rnacentral:rRNA from 1 species